rnacentral:lncRNA from 1 species
AAUUAAAACAAAAUAUAAUCUAUAAUUGUUUUACUAUAUAUUUAAAAUUUAUCAGCCAUAGUAUUGGAACAUACAUAUUAAAUCCUACCCACCAACUUAAAUAUUAAACCCUAGACAAACCCCUUAGUUACCAAAUCUAAACCCAAAUAUAAUCUUAACCAUAUGUUGCGAGUGUACAAUUCUAUCUCAGUGACAUAGUACAACACCCAAGUUGCGGUAAAAACUAUACAUAAUAAACCCACCCAAAAUCUUUGAAGUCUAUAUCCAAAUCCCUAUUUAGUAAAUCUAAACUCUAACCAUGAACCUAUAAACCCAAAUACAAUCUAUAAACUAUUUUUCGAUAUUAGACAAUCUAAACCCUAACAAAGAACCUAUAACAUGGCAAAUUAUUACAUAUUUAAGAAAUAGUAUAGAACUAUUGUCUCAAAUAGUAUAGAAAUAUUGUCACAAUUGACUUUGUAAAUGCUUUAGAGAAGUUUUGAUCAUUCCGAAUAACCAAUAUAGUAUAGUACACUAAUAUAAAGAUUUAUAUGCUAUCUAACCAAAUUUGACUACUAUACGUCCACCCACUUAAAUAUUAAACCUUAGACAAACUCUCUAGUUACUAAAUCUAAACCCAAAUAACUGAACUAUAAACUCAGAUAGAAUUUGUAUAAUAUGCUGCCAAUUUUCUCAACGUAGACGGCAUAGUAUGGAACCUUUAUAAAUACUAUAGAAUGACUGACUCACACCCAAUUAUUAAACCCAAAUUGUUAUCACUAAACCCAAAACUCAACCCUCACCUUCCAAAUACUAAACCCUAAAUCUUAAUCACAAAAUCCUAAACCAUACCACCCAUUUAAAUAUCAAACCCUAAACAAACUCCCUAGUUACUAAAUCUAAACCCAAAUAUAAUCUUAACCAUAGGUUGUGAGUGUACAA